GAUCUUGGCUCAGAUUGAACGCUGGCGGCAGGCCUAACACAUGCAAGUCGAACGGUAACAGGAAGAAGCUUGCUUCUUUGCUGACGAGUGGCGGACGGGUGAGUAAUGUCUGGGAAACUGCCUGAUGGAGGGGGAUAACUACUGGAAACGGUAGCUAAUACCGCAUAACGUCGCAAGACCAAAGAGGGGGGACCUUCGGGCCUCUUGCCAUCGGAUGUGCCCAGAUGGGAUUAGCUUGUUGGUGGGUAACGG
rnacentral:rRNA from 1 species